rnacentral:lncRNA from 1 species
UUUUUUUUUGUAGAUGUUCUUCUAGUCUAAUAAACAUGCUUGACAAUUUUCAUGCGAAACGAGAUAUCAGUGCUUUAUUGGUGAACAAGAAAAUAAGAAGUAAGUGCGACAUUUGAAGGUAAUAAAAUAAAAGCCUCCCACUUAGCCCUCAUUCCGGUGAACAUUGUUGGUGGAUGUGUGAUACCUCAAUAUAAUUGGAUGGAACAAGGAUUUUUUUUCUUCUUCAACCGAACAAGGUUGGAAAAUGGGAACUUGUCUUCGAUCUCUGGUCAGCCUGAGCAAAAAAUUGUCUAAAAUAACUGCAGUUCCCUUGCCGGAUUCCAUCUCAUUUGUCCUGUUCCCCAGAUCCUCAAUCUCCCGUUCAAAACGAGCAUCUGUCUUGGAAUCCAACUUGUGCUUCUCCAUCUCGUCCAACCACAUCGUAGUACGUACGAUCGUCAUAUACGCACGCGCGCCCCUCCCGCCCGCUCACUCACCGUGCGAAGUGCCACUCUCCCACUGGUCCCUGCGUGCCUCCCUGGAAGUGGAACCCAGCACGCCACGACACCCAUCGACCGACUCCAUGGCGCCGGGAGAAGCAAACACGGCCACUGCCGGCGGCCCGUGCCGCCGCCGCCGCGGCGUGCUGCUCUUCCCGCUCCCGUACCAGGGCCACAUCAACCCCAUGUUCCAGCUCGCGGGCCUCCUCCACGCGCGGGGCUUCGCCGUCACCGUCUUCCACGCCAGCUUCAACGCGCCCGACCCGUCCCACCACCCGGCCUACGACUUCGUCCCCGUCCCCGAGGGCCUGCCGGCGGCCGGCCCCGGCACGGUGGUGGAGACCCUCGAGCACAUCCUCGCCCUCAACGGCUCCCUCGAGGCGCCGUUCCGGGAGCGCCUGGCCGCCCUGCUGGAGGCCCCCGGCGCCGGGGACGAGGUCGCGUGCCUGGUCGCCGACGCGCACCUGCUGACCCUCGUGGACGUGGCGCGGGAGCAGGGCGUGCCGACGCUGGUGCUCCGCACCGGCAGCGCCGCGUGCUUCCGCAACUUCGUGGCCAACCCCAUGCUCUGCGACAGGGGCUACCUCCCGGUGAGCGGUGAGUCGGAGCUGGACGCACCGGUGAGGGAGCUGCCGCCGUACCGCGUCCGGGACCUGAUGGGCGCCGACAGCAGCGGCCGUCACGGGCACGAUCUGAUGUGCAAGCUGCUGUCCCGGGCGGUCGAGGCGGUGCGGGCCUCGGCGGGGUUCCUACUCAACACCUUCGACGCGCUGGAGGCCGCCGACCUGGCGGCGACCCGGCGAGACCUCGCCGGCGUGCCCGUGUUCGACGUCGGCCCGCUCCACAAGCUCUCCCCGGCGUCGUCCAGCAGCCUUCUUCAGCAAGACCGCUCCUGCCUCGACUGGCUGGACGCGCAGGCCCCGGCGUCCGUGCUGUACAUCAGCUUCGGCAGCCUGGCGAGCAUGAGCGGCGCGGACCUGGCCGAGGCGGCGUGGGGCGUGGCCGACAGCGGCCAGCCGUUCCUCUGGGCGCUCCGGCCGGGCCUCGCCCGCGGCGCCGCCCUGCCCGACGGGUUCGCCGCGGCGACCGAAGGCCGUGGCCUGGUGGUGGGCUGGGCGCCGCAGGAGGAGGUGCUGGCGCACGGCGCCGUGGGCGGGUUCUGGACGCACGGCGGGUGGAACUCGGCGCUGGAGGGCGCGUGCGGGGGCGUGCCGAUGCUCUGCCGGCCCUGCUUCGGGGACCAGAUGGGCAACGCGAGGCACGUGGAGCACGUGUGGCGCGCGGGCAUCGCGCUGGACGGCGGCGGCGUGCUCGAGCGGGGCGCGGUGGAGGCGGCCGUCCGGCGGCUGAUGCGGGGCGAGGAGGGAGAUGGGAUGAGGGGGCGUGCCCGGGAGCUCCGGAGCAUGGCGGCCGCGGCCGUCGCUGAUGGUGGGUCGUCCCGGCUCAGCGUCGACAAGCUGGUGAACCACAUCCUGUCGCUGUAGAGAUCUGUGCCCGAGUCCGUACGUAGUUUGUUGCUGUGCCACGAGCCCACGAAUGUUUUGUUUGUCCCGCCUCUCGACCAGUGCUUGCAUUUUGUCUGGAGUACUUCAAAGGACAAAGGGGGCCCUCAAAUCAAAUCGUCUGAAAACGUUCGGACCAGGCUGCAUCAACCACGGAAAGAUCGCACGAAGUUGAAUACAGACGCUCCACAGUUCGUUUUGUCUCCGGUCUCUUCAUUUCACUUUCUAUCGUUGCCAAUUCGCCUCCUUUUUAUAUAUGUCUAUAAAAACGAGAUCGCUCCUUACCAGCACAACCUGUGUCUCACGUCAUCAAGUUCCAAACACUGAGGUACUGCUAGGCUCUUUCAUAUCUCGGCUUGCGGUGUGCAUCGCAGGUCGACACAGUAGGCCUUAGAACCUUGCCGCUUCGAGUUAUGUACGUAAGAAGGGUGAUAAGAUUUUUGAAGAGCGCUCUGCGCGACUACUGAACUCUUCAUCACAGACGCCACAGACGCCGAUGAUCACUUCCCAGACGACGACGACCUCUUUGAUGACCCUCGAAGCACCCGCAAACGUCCGGGGCCAUCCAACUUGGUACCCAUCGGUCCACGGACCAGUCCCGUUGUUUGAAAUCUCGCAAAUAAGGGGGCUUUGCAGGCUUCCUAACCGCUGCCAUUUAUGUGUCCGACCCCGGGCCCAUCCAAAAACCUCUUCCGUGCCCAUGCACUCUAUCGCACGAAGCGGUUGCCGUGCAUUCAUGCCGUUCAUAGAGGAAGAGCAACUGGCGCCGCUGGUGUCGAUGUUUCGACGGGCGCAGAAGGACCAACGCUACAACCUUCGGCUUUUCGACGAGCACCGGGUCAUGGAGGGGCAGGCGAGCAGCAAUGCCGGCGCAACCAUGGUCAUAGAGGAUCUGAGCUUUCUGAACGAGGAGCGGGUGCUAUACCAGUACAUGCACAAGGCAUGUGUCAUCCACGACGAGGAUGCCAGCUUCAUGUCCUGCGAGUGAAAAGAGAUGCCUUGUUCAUGAAGAUCGACUCAAUCACAGGCAUAGCAAGCUCCAUGUCGGGAAACGACCACACAACGGACUCCGACGUGUAGGAGGUCUCUGUAUGGUGUCCCACGUCCUCAUUUUUUCUUCGCAACUACCUUUUUCAGGUUCUACACUUUUCGGGGCUCACGGCCGUUGAGCAUGACGAACAUGAAAAUGUUAGGGAAUAUAGUAAUAAUUAAAAAAAAAAUUACGUGUCACCAAGAUCAAUCUAGGAUAUGCUAGCAACGAGAGAGAAGGAGUGCAUCUUCAUACCCUUGAAGAUCGCUAAGCGGAAGCGUUACAAGAACACGGUUGAUGGAGUCGUACUUGCGGCGAUUCAAAUCGCGGAAUAUCCGAUCCAAGUGCCGAACGGACGGCACCUUCGCGUUCAACACACGUACAACCCGGAGACGUCUCCUCCUUCUUGAUCCAGCAAGGGGAGAGGAGAAGUUGAGGGAAAACUCCAGUAGCACGACGACGUCAUGGUGGAGCUUGCGGUUCUCCGGCAGGGCUUCGCCAAGCACUACGGAGGAGGAGGAGGUGUUGGAGGAGGGAGGGGCUGCGCUAGGGGAAGGGGUGCGGCUGCCCUCUCUCUCCCUCACUAUAUAUAAGGGGAACGGGGGAGGAGGAGGCACCCUAGGGUUUCCCUAGGGGAGGGGCGGCGGCCACAGGGGAAACCCUAGAUGGGUUUGGGCGCCCCCACCCCUAGGAAACUUGCCCCCCAAGCCAGGAGGGGUGGCUGCCCUAGGGGAGGCACCCCCACCUCUCCACGUUACGUGAGAUGGGGUGGGAGGGGCGCACAUCCCCUUAAUGGGCUGAUGUGCCCCCUCCCCUUGGCCCAUAAGGCCCCCCAACGCUUGCCGGGGCCUCCGAAACCCCUUUCGGACACGCUGGUCGUCACCCGGUACCCCCGGAACAAUUCCGGACUCCAAUACCCUUCGUCCAAUAUAUCAAUCUUCACCUCCGGACCAUUCCGGAGUUCCUCGUCACGUCCGGGAUCUCAUCCGGGACUCCGAACAACCUUCGAUAACCACAUACUAUUUCCCAUAACAACUCUAGCGUCACCGAACCUUAAGCGUGUAGACCCUACGGGUUCGGGAACCAUGUAGACAUGACCGAGACGUUCUCCGGCCAAUAACAAACAGCGGGAUCUGGAUACCCGUGUUGGCUCCCACAUGUUCCAGAAUGAUCUCAUCGGAUGAACCACGAUGUCGGGGAUUCAAUCAAUCCCGUAUUCAAUUCCCUUUGUCUAUCGGUAUGUUACUUGCCCGAGAUUCGAUUGUCGGUAUCCCCAUACCUCGUUCAAUCUCAUUACCGGCAAGUCUCUUUACUCGUUCCGUAACGCAUGAUCCCGUGGCUAACUCCUUAGUCGCAUUGAGCUCAUUAUGAUGAUGCAUUACCGAGUGGGCCCAGAGAUACCUCUCCGUCAUACGGAGUGACAAAUCCCAGUCUCGAUUCGUGCGAACCCAAUAGACACUUUCGGAGAUACCUGUAGUGCACCUUUAUAGCCGCCCAGUUACGUUGUGACGUUUGAUACACCCAAAGCACUCCUACGGUAUCCGGGAGUUGCACAAUCUCUUGGUCUAAGGAAAUGAUACUUGACAUUAGAAAAGCUCUAGCAAACGAACUACACGAUCUUGUGCUAUGCUUAGGAUUGGGUCUUGUCCAUCACAUCAUUCUCCCAAUGAUGUGAUCCCGUUAUCAACGACAUCCAAUGUCCAUGGCCAGGAAACCAUGACCAUCUAUUGAUCAACGAGAUAGUCAACUAGAGGCUUACCAGGGACAUGUUGUGGUCUAUGUAUUCACACAUGUAUUACGGUUUCCGUUCAAUACAAUUAUAGCAUGAACAAUAGACAAUUAUCAUGAACAAGGAAAUAUAAUAAUAAUCAUUUUAUUAUUGCCUCUAGGGUAUAUUUCCAACAGUCUCCCACUUGCACUAGAGUCAAUAAUCUAGUUCACAUCGCCAUGUGAUGAACACUCAUAGUUCACAUCGCCAUGUGACUAACACCCAAGAGUUUACUAGAGUCAAUAAUCUAGUUCACAUCGCCAUGUGAUUAACACCCAGGAGUUUACUAGAGUCAAUAUCUAGUUCACAUCACCAUGUGAUUAACACUCAAUGAGUUCUAGGGUUUGAUCAUGUUAUGCUUACGAGAGAGGUUUUAGUCAACGGGUCUGCAACAUUCAGAUCCGUGUGUUCUUCGCAAAUCUCUAUUUCAUAUUGUAGAUGUUGCUACUAUGCUCCACUUGGAGCUAUUCCAAAAGGUUGCUCCACUAUACGUAUCCGGUUUGCUACUCAGAGUCAUCUGGAUAGGUGUUAAAGCUUGCAUCGACGUAACCCUUUACGCCGAACUCUUCAUCACCUCCAUAAUCGAGAAAACAUUUCCUUAUUCCCAAGGAGAUUUUUGACCGCCGUCCAAUGAUCCACUCCUGGAUCAUUCUUAUACCCCCUUGCCAGACACGUGGCAAGGCACAUCGCGGUACACAUCAUGGCAUAUCGUAUAGAGCCUAUGGCUAAGGCAUAGGGGACGACUUUCGUCCUUUCUCUUUCUUCUGCCAUGGUCGAGCUUCAAGUCUUAACUUCACACCUUACAACUCAGGCAAGAACUCCUUUGACUGAUCCAUCUUGAACUCCUUCAAGAUCAUGUCAAGGUAUGUGCUCUAUGAAAGUCUAAUCAGGCGUCUUGAUCUAUCUCUAUAGAUCUUGAUACCCAACAUGUAAGCAGUUUUACACAGGUCUUCCUUUGAAAAACUCCAUUCAAACAACCCUUUAUGCUUUCCAGAAAUUCUACAUCAUUUCUGAUCAACAAUAUGUCAUCCACAUAUAUUUAUCAAAAUGUUGUAGUGCUCCCACUCACUUUCUUGCAAAUACAAGUUUCUUGUAAACUUUGUAUAAACCCAAAUGCUUUGAUCACCUCAUCAAAGCGUAUGUUCCAACUCCGAGAUGCUUGCUCCAGUCCAUAGAAGGACCGCCGGAGUUUGCAUACCUUUUAGCAUCCUUAGGAUCGACAAAACCUUCUGGUUGUAUCACAUACAGCCCUUCCUCACGGAAACCGUCAAGGAAACUUUGCUUUGACAUCCAUCUGUCAGAUUUCGUAAAUGAAAAUGUAGCAACUGCUAACAUAAUUCUAACAGACUUUAGCAUCACUAUGAUUGAGAAAGUCUCAUCACAUUCAACUCCUUGAACUUGUCGGAAACUUCUUUGAGACAAGUCGAGCUUCAUAAAUGGUGAAAUUAGCAUCAGCGUCGGUCUUCUUCUUAAAGCUCCAUUUAUUCUCAAUGGCUUGCCGAUCAUUGGGCAAGUCCACCAAAGUCCAUACUUUGUUCUCAUACAUGGACCUAUCUCAGAUUUCAUGGCUUCCAGCCAUUUGUUGGAAUCCGGGCCCACCAUCGCUUCUCCAUAGCUCAUAGGUUCAUCGUUGUCCAACAACAUGACCUUUCAGACAGGGUUACUCAGAAGUUGUACACACCCUUGUCGACCUAUGAGGUUCGAUAGUAACUUGAUCUGAAGAUCCAUGAUCAUCAUCAUUAGCUUUCUCUUCAACUGAGGUAGGUGCCACGGAAACAUUUUUCUGUGCUGUGCUACUCUUUGGUUGAAGUAAAGGUUCAACAACCUCAUCAAGUUCUAUCUUCCUCCCACUCAAUUCUUUUGAGAGAAACUCUUGCUCGAGAAAGGACCUGUUCCUAGCGACAAACACUUUGCCCUCAGAUCUGAGAUAGAAGGUAUACCCAAUCGUCUUGUUUGGGUAUUCUAUGAAGACACAAUUUUCCGCUUUGGGUUCGAGCUUUUCUGGCCGAAGCCUAUAGACAUAAGCAUCAUAGCCCCAAACCUUAAGAAACAACAACUUAGGUUUCUUGCCAAACCAUAGUUCAUACGGUGUCGUCUCCACGGACUUAGAUGGUUCCCUAUUUAAAGUGAAUGUAAUUGUCUCUAAUGCAUAACUCCAAAAUGAUAGCGGUAGAUUGGUAAGAGACAUCAUAGAUCGCACCUUAUAGGGUGCGAUUACGACGUUCGGACACACCAUUAUGCUAUGGUGUUUCAGGUGGCGUCAACUGUGGAACGAUUCCACCUUGUCUUUAGUGAUUGCCAAACUCAUAACUCAGAUACUUUUCCCUUGAUCAGAUCGUAGGAACUUGAUCUUCUUGUUAUGAUGAUUCUCAACUUCACUCUGAAAUUGCUUGAACUUUUCAAACAUUUCAGACUUACGCUUCAUUAAGUAAAUAUACCCAUAUCUACUCAAUUCAUCAGUGAAGGUGAGAAAAUAACGAUAUCCACCGCACACGUCAACACUCAUCGGAUCGCACACAUCAGCAUGUAUGAUUUCCAACAAGUCACUUGCCCGUUCCAUUGUUCCAGAAAACGGGGUUUUAGUCAUCUUGCCAAUAAGGCAUGGCUCGCAUGUGUCAAGUGAUUCAAAAUCAAGUGACUCCAAAAAUCCAUCGGCAUGGAGGUUCUUCAUGCGCUUUACACCAAUAUGACCUAAGCGGCAGUGCCACAAGAAAGUGGUACUAUCAUAUUACGAACUCUACAUCUUUUGGCAUCAAUGUUAUGAACAUGUGUAUCACUACGACCGAGAUUCAAUGAACCAUUCACAUUGGGUGCAUGACCAUAGAAGGUGUUACUAUUGGAGAUCGUUGCAGAAAUUAAAAAAAAUUCUACGCAUCACCAAGAACAAUCUAUGGAGUCUUCUAGCAAUGAGAGGGAAAAGAGUGCAUCUACAUACCCUUGUAGAUCGCGCGCGGAAGCGUUCAAGAGAACGGGGUUGAUGGAGUCGUACUCGUCGUGAUCCAAAUCACCGAUGAUCCUAGCGCCGAACGGACGGCACCUCCGCGUUCAACACACGUACGGAGCGGGGACGUCUCCUCCUUCUUGAUCCAGCAAGGGGGGAGGAGAAGUUGAUGGAGAUCCAGCAGCACGACGGCGUGGUGGUGGAAGUAGCGGGAUCCCGGCAGGGCUUCGCCAAGCGCAAGCGGGGAGGAAGAGGUGUCACGGGAGGGAGGGAGGCGCCAGGGCUUGGGGUGCUGCUCCCAUGCGCCUCCCCACUAUAUAUAGGGGUGGAGGGGGCUGGUUUCUUGCCCUCCAGGUCCAUUGGGGCGUUGGCAAAGGUGGGGGAAAGAAAUCCCAUCAUUUACCUUCCCCACCGAUUGUUAUCCCCCUUUUUUAGGGAUCUUGAUCUUAUCCCUUCGGGAUAUGAUCUUAUUCCUUCUAAGGUGGGAUCUUGGUGCGCCUUGACCAGGGGUGUGGGGCCUUGGCCCCACUACCCACGUUCAUGUGGGUCCCCCCAUGCAGGUGGGCCCCACUUCGGAACCUUCUAGAACCUUCCCGGUACAAUACCGAAAAAUCCCGAACAUUUUCCGGUGGCCAAAAUAGGACUUCCCAUAUAUAAAUCUUUACCUCCGGACCAUUCCGGAACUCCUCGUGACAUCCGGGACUCCGAACAACUUUCGGUUAACCGCAUACUAAUAUCUCUACAACUCUAGCGUCACCGAACCUUAAGUGUGUAGACCCUACGGGUUCGGGAGACAUGCAGACAUGACCGAGACGACUCUCCGGUCAAUAACCAACAGCGGGAUCUGGAUACCCAUGUUGGCUCCCACAUGUUCCACGAUGAUCUCAUCGGAUGAACCACGAUGUCGAGGAUUCAAUCAAUCCCGUAUACAAUUCCCUUUGUCAAUCGGUACGUUACUUGCCCGAGAUUCGAUCGUCGGUAUCCCAAUACCUUGUUCAAUCUCGUUACCGGCAAGUCACUUUACUCGUACCGUAAUGCAUGAUCCCAUGACCAAACACUUGGUCACAUUGAGCUCAUUAUGAUGAUGUACUACCGAGUGGGCCCAGAGAUACCUCUCUGUCAUACGGAGUGACAAAUCCCAGUCUCGAUUUGUGCCAACCCAACAGACACUUUCGGAGAUACCCGUAGUGCACCUUUAUAGCCACCCAGUUACAUUGUGACGUUUGGCACACCCAAAGCACUCCUAUGGUAUCCGGGAGUUCCACAAUCUCAUGGUCUAAGGAAAUGAUACUUGACAUUUGGAAAAGCUCUAGCAGACGAACUACACGAUCUUGUGCUAUGCUUAGGAUUGGGUCUUGUCCAUCACAUCAUUCUCCUGAUGAUGUGAUCCCGUUAUCAAUGACAUCCAAUGUCCAUAGUCAGGAAACCGUAACCAUCUAUUGAUCAACGAGCUAGUCAACUAGAGGCUCACUGGGACAUGUUGUGGUCUAUGUAUUCACACAUGUAUUACGGUUUCCGGAUAACACAAUUAUAGCAUGAACAAUAGACAAUUAUCAUGAACAAGGAAAUAUAAUAAUAACCAUUUUAUUAUUGCCUCUAGGGCAUAUUUCCAACAGUCUCCCACUUGCACUAGAGUCAAUAAUCUAGUUCACAUCGCCAUGUGAUUAACACUCAUAGUCCACAUCGCCAUGUGACUACACCCAAAGAGUUUACUAGAGUCAAUAAUCUAGUUCACAUCAUCAUGUGAUUAAGACUCAAUGAGUUCUAGGGUUUGAUCAUGUUCUGCUUGUGAGAGAGGUUUUAGUCAACGGGUCUGCAACAUUCAGAUCCGUGUGUACUUCGCAAAUCUCUAUUUCAUAUUGUAGAUGUUGCUACUAUGCUCCACUUGGAGCUAUUCCAAAUGAUUGCUCCAUUAUACGUAUCCGGUUUGCUACUCAGAGUCAUCUGGCUUGGUGUUAAAGCUUGCGUCGACGUAACCCUUUACGCCGAAUUCUUCAUCACCUCCACAAUCGAGAAAACAUUUCCUUAUUCCCAAGGACAAUUUUGACCGCUGUCCAAUGAUCCACUCCUGGAUCAUUCUUAUACCCCCUUGCCAGACACGUGGCAAGGCACAUCACGGUACACAGCAUGGCAUAUCGUAUAGAGCCUAUGGCUAAGGCAUAGGGGACGACCUUCGUCCUUUCUCUUUCUUCUGCCGUGGUCGAGCUUUAAGUCUUAACUUCCCACCUUACAACUCAGGCAAGAACUCCUUCUUUGACUGAUCCAUCUUGAACUCCUUCAAGAUCAUGUCAAGGUAUGUGUUCUGUGAAAGUCUUAUCAGGCGUCUUGAUCUAUCUCUAUAGAUCUUGAUACCCAAUAUGUAAGCAGUUUUACCAAGGUCUUCCUUUGAAAAACUCCAUUCAAACAACCCUUUUUGUUUUCCAGAAAUUCUACAUCAUUUCCGAUCAACAAUAUGUCAUCCACAUAUACUUAUCAGAAAUGUUGUAGUGCUCCCACUCACUUUCUUGUAAAUACAAGUUUCUUGCAAACUUUGUAUAAACCCAAAAACUUUGAUCACCUCAUCAAAGCGUAUGUUCCAACUCCAAGAUGCUUGCUCCAGUCCAUAGAGGGAUAGCUGGAGCUUGCAUACCUUUUAGCAUCCUUAGGAUCGACAAAAACUUUUUGGUUGUAUCACAUACAGCCUGGUUGUAUCACAUACAGCCUUUCCUCACGGAAACCGUCAAGGAAACUUUUGUUUUGACAUCCAUCUGCCAGAUUUCGUAAAUGAAAAUUCAGCAACUGCUAACAUAAUUCUAACAGACUUUAGCAUCGCUAUGAUUAAGAGAGUCUCAUCACAGUCAACUCCUUGAACUUGUCGGAAACUUCUUUGAGACAAGUCGAGCUUCAUAAAUGGUGACAUUACCAUCAGCGUCUGUCUUCUUCUUAAAGAUCCAUUUAUUCUUAAUGGCUUGCCGAUCAUUGGGCAAGUCCACCAAAGUCCAUACUUUGUUCUCAUACAUGGAUCCUAUCUCGGAUUUCAUGGCUCCUAGCCAUUUGUUGGAAUCUGGGCCCACCAUCGCUUCUCCAUAGCUCAUAGGUUCAUCAUUGUCCAACAACAUGACCUUUAAGACAGGGUGACCACUCAGAAGUUGUAUACACCCUUGUCGACCUACGAGGUUUGAUAGUAACUUGAUCUGAAGCUCCAUGAUCAUCAUCAUUAGCUUUCUCUUCAACUGAGACAAGUGCCACAGAAACAUCUUUCUGUGCUGCGCUACUCUCUGAUUGAAGUGAAGGUUCAACAACCUCAUCAAGUUCUAUCUUCCUCCCACUCAAUUCUUUCGAGAGAAACUCUUUCUCGAUAAAGGACCUGUUCAUAGCGACAAACAAUUUGCCCUCAGAUCUGAGAUAGAAGGUAUACCCAAUCGUCUUGUUUGGGUAUUCUAUGAAGACACAAUUUUCCGCUUUGGGUUCGAGCUUUUCUGGCCGAUGCCUAUCGACAUAAGCAUCGUAGCCCCAAACCUUAAGAAACAACAACUUAGGUUUCUUGCCAAACCAUAGUUCAUACGGUGUCGUCUCCACGGACUUAGAUGGUGCCCUAUUUAAAGUGAAUGUAGCAGUCUCUAAUGCAUAACCCCAAAACGAUAGCGGUAGAUCGGUAAGAGAUAUCAUAGAUCGCACCAUAACCAAUAGGGUGCGACUACGAUGCUCGGACACACCAUUACGCUAUGGUGUUCCAGGUGGCGUCAACUGUGAAACAAUUCCACCUUGUCUUUAGUGAUUGCCAAACUCACAACUCAGAUACUUUUCCCUUGAUCAGAUCGCAGGAACUUGAUCUUCUUGUUAUGAUGAUUCUCAACUUCACUCUGAAAUUGCUUGAACUUUUCAAACGUUUCAGACUUAUGCUUCAUUAAGUAAAUAUACCCAUAUCUACUCAAUUCAUUGGUGAAGGUGAGAAAAUAACGAUAUCCACCGCACGCGUCAACACUCAUCGGAUCGCACACAUCAGCAAGUAUGAUUUCCAACAAGUCACUUGCCCGUUCCAUUGUUACAGAAAACGGGGUUUUAGUCAUCUUGCCCAUGAGGCAUGGCUCGCAUGUGUCAAGUGAUUCAAAAUCAAGUGACUCCAAAACUCCAUCGGCAUGGAGGUUCUUCAUGCGCUUUACACCAAUAUGACCUUAAGCAGCAGUGCCAUAAAACUGGUACUAUCAUUAUCAACUCUACAUCUUUUGGCAUCAAUGUUAUGAACAUGUGUAUCACCACGAUCGAGAUUCAAUAAACCAUUCACAUGGGGUGCAUGACCAUAGAAGGUGUUAUUCAUGUAAACAGAAUAACCAUUAUUCUCUAACUUAAAUGGAUAACCGCAUUGCAAUAAACAUGAUCUAAUCAUGUUCAUGCUCAACGCAGACACCAAUGCAAACAACAUUUAUCUAGGUUCAACACUAAUCUCGAAGGUAGAGGGAGCGUGCGAUGGUGAUCACAUCAACCUUGGAAACACUUCCAACACGCAUCGUCACCUCGCCCCUAGCUAGUCUCUGUUUAUUCCGUAGCUUUUGUUUCGAGUUACCAAUCUUAGCAACUGAACCGGUAUCUAAUACCCAUCAAUAACACAUAUAUCAAAUAUACUUUUGUUGAAGUUGCCAGCCUUCUUAUCUACCAAGUAUUUGAGGCAGUUCCGCUACCAGUGACAGUUCCCCUAAUAGAAGCACUUCGUCUCGGGUUUGUGUUCUUGGGUUUCUUCAUUGGAGCGGCAACUGGCUUGCCAUUCAUGAAGUUUCCCUAGUUGCCCUUUCCCUUCUUUGAAACUAGUGGUCUUAUUAACCAUCAACACUUGAUGCUCCUUCUUCAUUUCUACUUCCGCGGCCUACCGCGAACUGCUCCGGGAUCAUCUCCAUCCCCUGCAUGUUAUAGUUCAUCACGAAGUUCUAGUAGCUUGGUGAUAGCGGCUGGAGAACUUUGUCAAUCAAUCUCUUAUCUGGAAGAUUAACUCCCACUUGAUUCAAGCGAUUGAAGUACCUAGACAUUCUGAGCACAUGCUCACUGGCUGAGCUAAUCUUGUAGGCAAAGAUCUUGUCAGAGGUCUCAAACCUCUCAACAUGGGCAUGAGCCUGAAAUACCAAUUCCAGCUCUUGGAAUAUCUCAUAUGUUCCAUGGCGUUCAAAACGCUUUUGGAGCCCCGACUCUAAGCCGUAAAGGAUGGCGCACUAAACUAUCAAGUAGUCAUCAGAAUGUGUCUGCCAGAUGUUCACAACAUCCACAGACGACGCUAGAGGGGUUGGCACACCGAGCGGUGCAUCAAGGACAGAAGCCUUCUGUGUAGCAGUGAGGAAAAUCCUCAGACUACGGCCCUAGUCCGCACAAUUGCUCACAAUAACUUUGAACUUAGUCUUUCUCUAGGAACGUAUUAAAACAGGGAGCUUAAGCACGAGCUAUUGAUCUGCAACUUAAUUUGCAAAGACAAUUUAGACUAUGUUCAUGACAAUGAGUUCAAUUAAUCAAAUUAUUUAAAGAACUCCCACUUAGAUAGACAUCCCUCUAGUCAUCUAAGUGAUACAUGAUCCGAAUCGACUAGGCCAUGUCCGAUCAUCACGUGAGACGGACUAGUCAUCAACGGUGAACAUCUCCAUGUUGAUCGCAUCUACUAUACGACUCAUGUUCGACCUUUCGAUCUCUUGUGUUCCGAGGCCAUGUCUGUACAUGCUAGGCUCGUCAAGUCAACCUAAGUGUUUCGCAUGUGUUCCGAGGCCAUGUCUGUACAUGCUAGGCUCGUCAACACCCGUUGUAUGCGAACGUUAGAAUCUAUCACACCCGAUCAUCACGUGGUGCUUCGAAACAACGAACCUUCGCAACGGUGCACAGUUAGGGGGAACACAUUUCUUGAAAUUUUAGUGAGGGAUCAUCUUAUUUAUGCUACCGUUGUUCUAAGCAAAUAAGAUGUAAACAUGACAGACAUCACAUGCAAAUCAUAAAGUGACAUGAUAUGGCCAAUAUCAUCUUGCGCCUUUUGAUCUCCAUCUUCGAGGCACGGCAUGAUCACCUUCGUCACCGGCAUGACACCAUGAUCUCCAUCAUCAUGAUCUCCAUUAUCGUGUCUUCAUGAAGUUGUCUCGCCAACUAUUACUUCUACUACUAUGGCUAACGGUUAGCAAUAAAGUAAAGUAAUUACAUGGUGUUUUCAUUGACACUCAGGUCACACAAUAAAUUAAGACAACUCCUAUGGCUCCUGCCGGUUGUCAUACUCAUCGACAUGCAAGUCGUGGUUCCUAUUACAAGAACAUGAUCAAUCUCAUACAUCACAUAUAUCAUUCAUCACAUCCUUUUGGCCAUAUCACAUCACAUAGCAUACCCUGCAAAAACAAGUUAGACGUCCUCUAAUUGUUGUUGCAUGUUUUACGUGGCUGCUAUGGGUUUCUAGCAAGAACGUUUCUUACCUACGCAAAAGCCACGACGGUGAUAUGCCAAUUGCUAUUUACCCUUCAUAAGGACCCUUUUCAUCGAAUCCGAUCCGACUAAAGUGGGAGAGACAGACACCCGCUAGCCACCUUAUGCAUCAAGUGCAUGUUAGUCGGUGGAACCUGUCUCACGUAAGAGUAAGUGUAAGGUCGGUCCGGGCCGCUUCAUCCCACAAUGCCGCCGAAUGAAGAUAAGACUAGUAACGGUAAGCAAAUUGAACAAAUCGUCGCCCACAACUACUUUGUGUUCUACUCGUGCAUAGAAUCUACGCAUAAACCUGGCUCAUGAUGCCACUGUUGGAGAUCGUUGCAGAAAUUAAUUUUUUUUCUACGCAUCACCAAAAACAAUCUAUGGAGUCUUCUAGCAACGAGAGGGAAAAUAGUGCAUCUACAUACCCUUGUAGAUCGUGCGCGGAAGCGUUCAAGAGAACGGGGUUGAUGGAGUCGUACUCGUCGUGAUCCAAAUCACCGAUGAUCCUAGCGCCGAACAGACGGCACCUCCGCGUUCAACACACGUACGGAGCGGGGACGUCUCCUCCUUCUUGAUCCAGCAAGGGGGGAGGAGAAGUUGAUGGAGAUCCAGCAGCACGACGGCGUGGUGGUGGAAGUAGCGGGAUCCCGGCAGGGCUUCGCCAAGUGCAAGCAGGGAGGAAGAGGUGUCACGGGAGGGAGGGAGGCGCCAGGGCUUGGGGUGCUGCUCCCAUGCGCCUCCCCACUAUAUAUAGGGGUGGAGGGGGCUGGUUUCUUGCCCUCCAAGUCCAUUGGAGCAUUGGCAAAGGUGGGGGGAAAGAAAUCCCAUCAUUUCCCUUCCCCACCGAUUGUUAUCCCUCUUUUUUAGGGAUCUUGAUCUUAUCCCUUCGGGAUAUGAUCUUAUUCCUUCUAAGGUGGGAUCUUGGUGCGCCUUGACCAGGGGUGUGGGGCCUUGCCCCCACUACCCACGUUCAUGUGGGUCCCCCCAUGCAGGUGGGCCCCACUUGGAACCUUCUAGAACCUUCCCGGUACAAUACCGAAAAAUCCCGAACAUUUUCCGGUGGCCAAAAUAGGACUUCCCAUAUAUAAAUCUUUACCUCCGGACCAUUCCGGAACUCCUCGUGACGUCCAGGAUCUCAUCCGGGACUCCGAACAACCUUCGGUAACCACAUACUAUUUCCCAUAACAACUCUAGCGUCACCGAACCUUAAGCGUGUAGACCCUACGGGUUCCGGAACCAUGUAGACAUGACCGAGACGUUCUCCGGCCAAUAACAAACAACGUGAUCUGGAUACCCAUGUUGGCUCCCACAUGUUCCACAAUGAUCUCAUCGGAUGAACCAUGAUGUCGGAGAUUCAAUCAAUCCCGUAUACAAUUCCCUUUGUCAAUCGGUACGUUACUUGCCCGAGAUUCGAUCGUCGGUAUCCCAAUACCUUGUUCAAUCUCGUUACCGGCAAGUCACUUUACUCGUACCGUAAUGCAUGAUCCCGUGACCAAACACUUGGUCACAUUGAGCUCAUUAUGAUGAUGCAUUACCGAGUGGGCCCAGAGAUACCUCUCCGUCAUACGGAGUGACAAAUCCCAGUCUCGAUUCGUGCCAACCCAACAGACACUUUCGGAGAUACCCGUAGUGCACCUUUAUAGCCACCCAGUUACGUUGUGACGUUUGGCACACCCAAAGCACUCCUAUGGUAUCCGGGAGUUCCACAAUCUCAUGGUCUAAGGAAAUGAUACUUGACAUUUGGAAAAGCUCUAGCAAACGAACUACACGAUCUUGUGCUAUGCUUAGGAUUGGGUCUUGUCCAUCACAUCAUUCUCCUAAUAAUGUGAUCCCGUUAUCAAUGACAUCCAAUGUCCAUAGUUAGGAAACCAUGACUAUCUGUUGAUCAACGAGCUAAUCAACUAGAGGCUCACUAGGGACAUGUUGUGGUCUAUGUAUUCACAAAUGUAUUACGAUUUCCGGAUAACACAAUUAUAGCAUGAACAAUAGACAAUUAUCAUGAACAAGGAAAUAUAAUAAUAACCAUUUUAUUAUUGCCUCUAGGACAUAUUUCCAACAAAUACAUGUGUGAAUACAUAGACCACAACAUGUCCCUAGUAAGCCUCUAGUUGACUAGCUCGUUGAUCAAUAGAUGGUCAUGGUUUCCUGGCCAUGGACAUUGGAUGUCGUUGAUAACGGGAUCACAUCAUUGGGAGAAUGAUGUGAUGGACAAGACCCAAUCCUAAGCAUAGCACAAGAUCAUGUAGUUCGUUUGCUAGAGCUUUUCUAAUGUCAAGUAUCAUCUCCUUAGACCAAGAGAUUGUGCAACUCCCGGAUACCAUAGGAGUGCUUUGGGUGUAUCAAGCGUCACAACGUAACUGGGUGGCUAUAAAGGUGCACUACAGGUAUCUCCGAAAGUGUCUGUUGGGUUGGCACGAAUCAAGACUGGGAUUUGUCACUCCGUAUGACGGAGAGGUAUCUCUGGGCCCACUCGGUAAUGCAUCAUCAUAAUGAGCUCAAUGUGACUAAGGAGUUAGCCACGGGAUCAUGCGUUACGGAACGAGUAAAGAGACUUGCCGGUAACGAGAUUGGACGAGGUAUGGGAAUACGGACGAUCGAAUCUCGGGCAAGUAACAUACCGAUAGACAAAGGGAAUUCAAUACGGGAUUGAUUGAAUCACAAACAUCGUGGUUCAUCCGAUGAGAUCAUCGUGGAACAUGUGGGAGCCAACAUGGGUAUCCAGAUCCCGCUGUUUGUUAUUGGCCGGAGAACGUCUCGGUCAUGUCUACAUGGUUCCGGAACCCGUAGGGUCUACACGCUUAAGGUUCGGUGACGCUAGAGUUGUUAUGGGAAAUAGUAUGUGGUUACCGAAGGUUGUUCGGAGUCCCGGAUGAGAUCCCGGACGUCACGAGGAGUUCCGGAAUGGUCCGGAGGUAAAGAUUUAUAUAUGGGAAGUCCUAUUUUGGCCACCGGAAAAUGUUCGGGAUUUUUCGGUAUUGUACCGGGAAGGUUCUAGAAGGUUCCAAGUGGGGCCCACCUGCAUGGGGGGACCCACAUGAACGUGGGUAGUGGGGGCAAGGCCCCACACCCCUGGUCAAGGCGCACCAAGAUCCCACCUUAGAAGGAAUAAGAUCAUAUCCCGAAGGGAUAAGAUCAAGAUCCCUAAAAAAGAGGGAUAACAAUCGGUGGGGAAGGGAAAUGAUGGGAUUUCUUUCCCCCCACCUUUGCCAACGCUCCAAUGGACUUGGAGGGCAAGAAACCAGCCCCCUCCACCCCUAUAUAUAAUGGGGAGGCGCAUGGGAGCAGCACCCCAAGCCCCUGGCGCCUCCCUCUCCCUCCCGUGACACCUCUCCCUCUCGCUGAGCUUGGCGAAGCCCUGCCGAGAUCCCCACUGCUUCCACCACCACGCCGUCGUGCUGCUGGAUCUCCAUCAACCUCUCCCUCCCCUUGCUGGAUCAAGAAGGAGGAGACGUCUUCCCGAACCGUACGUGUGUUGAACGCGGAGGUGCCGUCCGUUCGGCGCUCGGUCAUCGGUGAUUUGGAUCACGACGAGUACGACUCCAUCAACCCCGUUCACUUGAACGCUUCCGCUCGCGAUCUAUAAGGGUAUGUAGAUGCACUAUUUUCCCUCUCGUUGCUAGAAGACUCCAUAGAUUGUUCUUGGUGAUGCGUAGAAAUUUUUUAAUUUCUGCAACGAUCACCAACAGUGGCAUCAUGAGCUAGGUCUAUGCGUAGUUUCUAUGCACGAGUAGAACACAAACUUUUUGUGGGCGUAGAUGUUGUCAAUUUCUUGCCACUACUAGUCUUAUCUUGUUUCGGCGGCAUCGUGGGAUGAAGCGGCCCGGACCGACCUUACACGUACGCUUACGUGAGACAGGCUCCACCGACUGACAUGCACUAGUUGCAUAAGGUGGCUAGCGGGUGUCUGUCUCUCCCACUUUAGUCGGAUCGGGUUCGGUGAAAAGGGUCCUUAUGAAGGGUAAAUAGAAGUUGGCAUAUCACGUUGUGGUUUACGUAGGUAAGAAACGUUCUUGCUAGAAACCUAUAGAAGCCACGUAAAAACAUGCAACAACAAUUAGAGGAUGUCUAACGUGUUUUUGCAGCAUAUGCCUUGUGAUGUGAUAUGGCCAAAAGGAUGUGAUGAAUGAAAUAUAUGUGAUGUAUGAGAUUGAUCAUGUUCUUGUAAUGGGAAUCACGACUUGCAUGUCGAUGAGUAUGACAACCGCCAGGAGCCAUAGGAGUUGUCUUUAUUUUUUGUAUGACCUGCGUGUCAUUGAAUAACGCCAUGUAAAUUACUUUACUUUAUUGCUAAACACGUUAGCCAUAGAAGUAGAUGUAAUCUUUGGCGUGACAACUUCAUGAAGACACGAUGAUGGAGAUCAUGGUGUCAUGCCGGUGACGAAGAUGAUCAUGGCGCCCCGAAGAUGGAGAUCAAAGGAGCAAUAUGAUACUGGCCAUAUCAUGUCACUAUUUGAUUGCAUGUGAUGUUUAUCAUGUUUUACAUCUUAUUUGCUUAGAACGAUGGUAGCUUAAAUAAGAUGAUCCCUCGCAAUAAUUUCAAGAAAGUGUUCCCCCUAACUUUGCACCGUUGCGAAGGUUCGUUGUUUCGAAGCACCACGUGAUGAUCGGGUGUGAUAGAUUCUAACGUUCGAAUACAACGGGUGUAAGCCAGAUUUACACACGCAAUACACUUAGGUUGACUUGACGAGCCUAGCAUGUACAGACAUGGCCUCGGAACACGGAAGACCGAAAGGUCGAGCAUGAGUCGUAUAGAAGAUACGAUCAACAUGAAGAUGUUCACCGAUGUUGACUAGCCCGUCUCACGUGAUGAUCGGACAUGGCCUAGUUGACUCGGAUCAUGUUUCACUUAGAUGACUAGAGGGAUGUCUAUCUGAGUGGGAGUUCAUUGAAUAAUUUGAUUAGAUGAACUUAAUUAUCAUGAACUUAGUCUAAAAUCUUUACAAUAUGUCUUGUAGAUCAAAUGGCCCACGCUAAUGUUGCCCUCCACUUCAACGCGUUCCUAGAGAAAACCAAGCUGAAAGAUGAUGGCAGCAACUAUACGGACUGGGUCCGGAACAUGAGGAUCAUCCUCAUAGCUGCCAAGAAAGAUUAUGUCCUAGAAGCACCGCUAGGUGACGCACCCAUCCCAAAGAACCAAGACGUUAUGAACGCUUGGCAGCAGCGUGCUGGUGAUUACUCCCUCGUUCAGUGUGGCAUGCUUUACAGCUUAGAACCGGGGCUCCAAAAGCGUUUUGAGCAACACGGAGCAUAUGAGAUGUUCGAAGAGCUGAAAAUGGUUUUCCAAGCUCAUGCCCGGGUCGAGAGAUAUGAAGUCUCCGACAAGUUCUUCAGUUGUAAGAUGGAGGAAAAUAGUUCUGUCAGUGAGCACAUACUCAAAAUGUCUGGGUUACACAACCGCUUGACUCAGCUGGGAGUUAAUCUCCCGGAUGACGCGGUCAUUGACAGAAUCCUUCAGUCGCUUCCACCAAGCUACAAGAGCUUUGUGAUGAACUUCAAUAUGCAGGGGAUGGAAAAGACCAUUCCUGAGGUAUAUUCAAUGCUGAAAUCAGCGGAGGUGGAGAUCAAAAAGGAACAUCAAGUGUUGAUGCUGAAUAAAACCACUAAGUUCAAGAAAGGCAAGGGUAAGAAUAACUUCAAGAAGGACGGCAAGGGAGUUGCCGCGCCCGGUAAGCCAGUUGCCGGGAAGAAGCCAAAUAAUGGACCCAAGCCUGAGACUGAGUGCUUUUAUUGCAAGGGAAUUGGUCACUGGAAGCGGAACUGCCCCAAGUACUUGGCGGACAAGAAGGCCGGCAACACCAAAGGUAUAUGUGAUAUACAUGUUAUUGAUGUGUACCUUACCAGCACUCGUAGUAGCUCCUGGGUAUUUGAUACCGGUGCGGUUGCUCAUAUUUGUAACUCAAAGCAGGAGCUGCAGAAUAAACGGAGACUGGCAAAGGACGAGGUGACGAUGCGCGUCGGGAAUGGUUCCAAGGUCGAUGUGAUCGCCGUCGGCACGCUACCUCUACAUUUACCUAUAGGAUUAGUUUUAAACCUCAAUAAUUGUUAUUUAGUGCCAGCUUUGAGCAUGAACAUUGUAUCAGGAUCUCGUUUAAUUCGAGAUGGCUACUCAUUUAAAUCCGAGAAUAAUGGUUGUUCUAUUUAUAUGAGAGAUAUGUUUUAUGGUCAUGCCCCGCUGGUUAAUGGUUUAUUCUUAAUGAAUCUCGAACGUAGUGUUACACAUAUUCAUAGUGUGAAUACCAAAAGAUGUAAGGUUGAUAAUGAUAGUCCCACAUACUUGUGGCACUGCCGUCUUGGUCACAUUGGUGUCAAACGCAUGAAGAAGCUCCAUGCAGAUGGACUUUUGGAGUCUCUUGAUUACGAAUCAUUUGACACAUGCGAACCAUGCCUCAUGGGUAAGAUGACCAAGACUCCGUUCUCCGGAACAAUGGAGCGAGCAACCAACUUAUUGGGAAUCAUACAUACUGAUGUGUGCGGUCUAAUGAGUGUUGAGGCUCGCGGUGGCUAUCGUUAUGUUCUCACUCUCACUGAUGACUUGAGUAGAUAUGGGUAUGUCUACCUAAUGAAACACAAGUCUGAGACCUUUGAAAAGUUCAAGGAAUUUCAGAGUGAGGUUGAGAAUCAACGUGACAGAAAAAUUAAGUUCUUACGAUCAGAUCGUGGAGGGGAAUAUUUGAGUCACGAAUUUGGCACACACUUAAGGAAAUGUGGAAUAGUUUCACAACUCACGCCGCCUGGAACACCUCAGCGAAAUGGUGUGUCCGAACGUCGUAAUCGCACUCUAUUGGAUAUGGUGCGAUCUAUGAUGUCUCUUACCGAUCUACCGCUCUCAUUUUGGGGCUAUGCUUUAGAGACUGCCGCAUUCACUUUAAAUAGGGCUCCAUCGAAAUCCGUUGAGACGACACCGUAUGAAUUAUGGUUUGGGAAGAAACCUAAGCUGUCGUUUCUAAAAGUUUGGGGAUGCGAUGCUUAUGUCAAGAAACUUCAACCUGAAAAGCUCGAACCCAAGUCGAAAAAAUGCGUCUUCAUAGGAUACCCUAAGGAAACCAUUGGGUAUACCUUCUACCUCAGAUCCGAAGGCAAGAUCUUUGUUGCCAAGAACGGGUCCUUUCUGGAGAAAGAGUUUCUCUCGAAAGAAGUAAGUGGGAGGAAAGUGGAACUUGAAGAAGUACUACCUCUUGAACUGGAAAGUAGCGCAGCUCAGGAAGAUGUUCCUGUGGUGCCUGCACCGACUAGAGAGGAAGUUAAUGAUGAUGAUGAUCAAGGUACUUCGGAUCAAGCUCCUACUGAACUUUGUAGGUCCACAAGGACACGUUCCGCGCCAGAGUGGUACGGCAACCCUGUCUUGGAAAUCAUGUUGUUAGACAACGGUGAACCUUCGAACUAUGAAGAAGCAAUGGCGGGCCCAGAUUUUGACAAAUGGCUUGAAGCCAUGCAAUCCGAGAUAGGAUCCAUGUAUGAAAACAAAGUGUGGACUUUGACAGACUUGCCCGAUGAUCGGCGAGCGAUAGAAAACAAAUGGAUCUUUAAGAAGAAGACAGACGCGGAUGGUAAUGUUACCAUCUAUAAACCUUGACUUGUCGCUAAGGGUUAUCGACAAGUUCAAGGGGUUGACUACGAUGAGACUUUCUCACCCGUAGCGAAGCUGAAGUCCGUCCGAAUCAUGUUAGCAAUUGCCGCAUACUAUUAUUAUGAGAUAUGGCAAAUGGACGUCAAAACGGCAUUCCUUAACGGCUUUCUUAAGGAAGAAUUGUAUAUGAUGCAGCCGGAAGGUUUUGUCGAUCCUAAGAAUGCUAACAAGGUAUGCAAGCUCCAGCACUCCAUCUAUGGGCUGGUGCAAGCAUCUCGGAGUUGGAACAUUCGAUUUGAUGAGAUGAUCAAAGCGUUUGGGUUUACACAGACUUAUGGAGAAGCCUGUGUUUACAAGAAAGUGAGUGGGAGCUCUGUAGCAUUUCUCAUAUUAUAUGUGGAUGACAUACUGUUGAUGGGAAAUGAUAUAGAAUUCUUGGGAAGCAUAAAGGCCUACUUGAACAAGUGUUUUUCAAUGAAGGACCUUGGAGAAGCUGCUUAUAUAUUAGGCAUCAAGACCUAUAGAGAUAGAUCAAUACGCCUCAUUGGUCUUUCACAAAGUACGUACCUUGACAAGAUAUUGAAGAAGUUCAAUAUGGAUCAGUUCAAGAAGGGGUUCUUGCCUGUAUUGCAAGGUGUGCAAUUGAGCACAGCUCAAUGCCCGACCACGGCAGAAGAUAGAGAAAAGAUGAGUGUCGUCCCCUAUGCCUCGACCAUAGGGUCUAUUAUGUAUGCCAUGCUGUGUACCAGACCUGAUGUAAACCUUGCCGUAAGUUUGGUAGGAAGGUACCAAAGUAAUCCCGGCAUGGAACACUAGACAGCGGUCAAGAAUAUCCUGAAGUACCUGAAGAGGACUAAGGAUAUGUUUCUCGUUUAUGGAGGUGACGAAGAGCUCGUCGUAAAGGGUUACGUCGAUGCUAGUUUCGACACAGAUCUGUAUGACUCUAAGUCACAAACCGGAUACGUGUAUAUUUUGAAUGGCGGGGCAGUAAGCUGGUGCAGUUGCAAGCAAAGCGUUGUGGCAGGAUCUACAUGUGAAGCGGAAUACAUGGCGGCCUCAGAGGCAGCACAAGAAGCAAUCUGAGUGAAGGAGUUCAUUACCGACCUAGGAGUUAUUCCCAAUGCGUCGGGCCCGAUGACUCUCUUCUGUGACAACACUGGAGCUAUUGCCCUUGCCAAGGAGCCCAGGUUUCACAGGAAGACCAGGCAUAUCAAGCGUCGCUUCAACUCCAUUCGUGAAAAUGUUCAAAAUGGAGACAUAGAUAUUUGUAAAGUACAUACGGACCUGAAUGUAGCAGAUCCGUUGACUAAACCUCUCCCUAGGGCAAAACAUGAUCAACACCAGAACUCUAUGGGUGUUCGAUUCAUCACAAUGUAACUAGAUUAUUGACUCCAGUGCAAGUGGGAGACUGUUGGAAAUAUGCCCUAGAGGCAAUAAUAAAAUGGUUAUUAUUAUAUUUCCUUGUUCAUGAUAAUUGUCUAUUGUUCAUGCUAUAAUUGUGUUAUCCGGAAAUCGUAAUACAUGUGUGAAUACAUAGACCACAACAUGUCCCUAGUGAGCCUCUAGUUGAUUAGCUCGUUGAUCAACAGAUAGUCAUGGUUUCCUGACUAUGGACAUUGGAUGUCAUUGAUAACGGGAUCACAUCAUUAGGAGAAUGAUGUGAUGGACAAGACCCAAUCCUAAGCAUAGCACAAGAUCGUGUAGUUCGUUUGCUAGAGCUUUUCCAAAUGUCAAGUAUCAUUUCCUUAGACCAUGAGAUUGUGUAACUCCCGGAUACCAUAGGAGUGCUUUGGGUGUGCCAAACGUCACAACGUAACUGGGUGCCUAUAAAGGUGCACUACGGGUAUCUCCGAAAGUGUCUGUUGGGUUGGCACGAAUCGAGACUGGGAUUUGUCACUCCGUAUGACGGAGAGGUAUCUCUGGGCCCACUCGGUAAUGCAUCAUCAUAAUCAGCUCAAUGUGACCAAGUGUUUUGUCGCGGGAUCAUGCAUUACGGUACGAGUAAAGUGACUUGCCGGUAAUGAGAUUGAACAAGGUAUUGGGAUACCGACGAUCGAAUCUCGGGCAAGUAACGUACCGAUUGACAAAGGGAAUUGUAUACGGGAUUGAUUGAAUCCUCGACAUCGUGGUUCAUCCGAUGAGAUCAUCGUGGAACAUGUGGGAGCCAACAUGGGUAUCCAGAUCCCGCUGUUGGUUAUUGACCGGAGAGUCGUCUCGGUCAUGUCUGCAUGUCUCCCGAACCCGUAGGGUCUACACACUUAAGGUUCGGUGACGCUAGAGUUGUAGAGAUAUUAGUAUGCUGUUAACCGAAAGUUGUUCGGAGUCCCGGAUGAGAUCUCGGACGUCACGAGUAGUUCCGGAAUGGUCCGGAGGUAAAGAUUUAUAUAUGGGAAGUCCUAUUUUGGCCACCGGAAAAUGUUCGGGAUUUUUUGGUAUUGUACCGAGAAGGUUCUAGAAGGUUCCGAAGUGGGGCCACCUGCAUGGGGGGACCCACAUGAACGUGGGUAGUGGGGGCAAGGCCCCACACCCCUGGUCAAGGCGCACCAAGAUCCCACCUUAGAAGGAAUAAGAUCAUAUCCCGAAGGGAUAAGAUCAAGAUCCCUAAAAAAGGGAUAACAAUCGGUGGGGAAGGGAAAUGAUGGGAUUUCUUUCCCCCACCUUUGCCAACGCCCCAAUGGACUUGAAGGGCAAGAAACCAGUCCCCUCCACCCCUAUAUAUAGUGGGGAGGCGCAUGGGAGCAGCACCCCAAGCCCUGGCGCCUCCCUCUCCCUCCCGUGACACCUCUCCCUCUCGCUGAGCUUGGCGAAGCCCUGCCGAGAUCCCCGCUGCUUCCACCACCACGCCGUCGUGCUGCUGGAUCUCCAUCAACCUCUCCCUGCCCUUGCUGGAUCAAGAAGGAGGAGACGUCUUCCCCAACCGUAUGUGUGUUGAACGCGGAGGUGCCGUCUGUUCGGCGCUCGGUCAUCGGUGAUUUGGAUCACGACGAGUACGACUCCAUCAACCCCGUUCACUUGAACGCUUCCGCUCGCGAUCUACAAGGGUAUGUAGAUGCACUCUUUUCCCUCUCGUUGCUAGAAGACUCCAUAGAUUGUUCUUGGUGAUGCGUAGAAAUUUUUUAAUUUCUGCAACGAUCACCAACAGUAUUACGGUUUCCGGUCAAUACAAUUAUAGAAUGAACAAUAGACAAUUAUCAUGAACAAGGAAAUAUAAUAAUAACCAUUUUAUUAUUGCCUUUAGGGCAUAUUUCCAACAGAAAAGACAGACCAUAAAACACGGAUGCCUACAUGGCCGGCCAAAGAAUUAGACUAGGUUAAAAAUGUUGUCAGCUUUUAAAACGUAUAAAGCGCAACACAGACCUUUGACAAAUUGUAUACACUUUUGUAUGUAUGGUGUUUCGCCCGCCAAAUGUAUGAUUAUUUUAUUUGCAAAUUCUGUCAAUUUAUCAAUCAACAUGAACAUUUUCUUAUCUCCUCACCAUUUCUUGAAUUAUUCAACAAAUUUGUAGUUUCAAAUUGUGUAGGAGUAUUUUACAAACUUGAGCACUUUUUUAGAAGUUAUUAAGAAAUUCUCAACAAUUAAUGUUGAACACAAAUUCCAAACAACAUACUUUUUAGAAACAGUUAACAACUUUUUUGACACACAAACAUUUCUUAAAGUUAUAAACAAAAAAUAAGAAACAUGCAUUUUUUUUGAAAUUCUAGUACAUUUUCAAAAUUGUAAAGAAUAUUUGAAACAAGUUUUUGGUUGGUAUUCCAAACAAUAUUUGAAAUUUUCGAACAGGUUUCAAAAAAAAUAAUACAGUUCAAAAAUGAGAAGAUAAAUUAUAACGGAAAAGCAAAAAAAACGAGAUAUAGUAAAAAAACGCUUAGGCCUUGGCUCAACCAGGCGACCGCACCGCUCCUGUCGGGCGCUUGUUGGGCCGUCCCAAGCGUUUGCAGAUUUGAAAAAUAUUUAUCACUUUUUAGAAAUGUUCACGAAUUUAAAUAAAAGUCAUGGGAUUUAUAAAUUAUUUUGCAAAAAUUGGAAAGAGUUCGUAUAUAUAUAUAUUAAAAAAUUCAUUUAUUUGAAAACAAAGUUCACAGAAGGAGAAGUUCACGAUAUAAAAACUAAUUCGUGAAUUAAAAAAGGAAAUAAAAUAAAUAAUAAAAGAAAGAGAAAAAACAGAAGAAAAAGUGGACAAACAAAACAGGCUCGCAUUGGUUAAUGGUAUAUAUUGGAAGAAGAAAAGGAAAGGCAACACAAUAAGAAUGUAGUCCAGGUGACAGAAUAAGAAAGUAGGCCAAUUGAUCCCAUGUGUUGGUUUUCAUCCUCAUCCUCCCCUUUGUUAUGAAAGGGUAUGGACAAAUGUUUUUAGGAGGUGUACUAAGCAGAAAUGUUAGUUAAAAUAUAUUAAAACAUAAUAUAGAAAUUAGGUUUUAAUGGAAAUCGUCAUGCUUGUUCAAAUUUCAUUAAAAUAUAUGUAGACAUUUAAGGUACACGGUGGUUGAAUGACCAGGCCCCGUCGGUUGAACGACUAGCUCGGCUCCUGUACCACUGUGCACGGACAGAUAAUACAUCUACGGACAGAUAAUACAUCCGUUUUAGAAGUCCGCCGUGGGGAAAAAAAAGACACACGGCGCACGCUAGAACGGCAUACGGACGUUAUCACGGGCAUCUUAUUUAUUCAGCUCGAGUUGCUCAAUUUGUUUUUAUUCAGCUCGAGCCUUAGCUCAAAAGGACUAGUAGGCAGCGGACAGCCAGCCGGGGCCGGCAGCUCAGUGCUGUCCGGGCAGCUUCUCCUUGAUCUUGUCCACGAGUCCCUUCUUCUCGCCGGCGCCGGCGCCGGCCAUUCCUGCGUGCCCAUGCUGGCCGUAGUCUCCGCCGGCCCCAGUUCCCGCGGCCGUGUGCUGCCCAUAAGCCCCGCCAGCUCCAGUUCCCGCGGCCAUGUGCUGCUGGUUGUCUUUGUGGCCACCCGGGAGCUUCUCCUUGACGCCC